rnacentral:rRNA from 1 species
CUGCACUGUAAACCUAGCGGCGGACGGGUGAGUAACGCGUGGGCAACCUGCCUUACACAGGGGGAUAACACUGGGAAACUAGUGCUAAUACCGCAUAACAUCAUUUUAUGGCAUCAUGAGAUGAUCAAAGGAGCAAUCCGGUGUAAGAUGGGCCCGCGUCCGAUUAGCUAGUUGGUGAGGUAACGGCUCACCAAGGCAGCGAUCGGUAGCCGAACUGAGAGGUUGGUCGGCCACAUUGGGACUGAGACACGGCCCAGACUCC